CGCGUAGGCGGUUUGUUUAGUUAGACGUGAAAUUCCUGGGCUUAACCUGGGGACUGCGCUUAAUACAGGCAGACUUGAGUUCGGAAGAGGGUCGUGGAAUUCCCAGUGUAGAGGUGAAAUUCGUAGAUAUUGGGAAGAACACCGGUGGCGAAGGCGGCGACCUGGUCCGAUACUGACGCUGAGGCGCGAAAGCGUGGGGAGCAAACA
rnacentral:rRNA from 1 species